UUCUAUGGAGAGUUUGAUCCUGGCUCAGGACGAACGCUGGCGGCGUGCUUUACACAUGCAAGUCGAGCGAUGAGAUCCCUUCGGGGAUGGAUUAGCGGCGAACGGGUGAGGAACACGUGAGGAAUCUGCCUUCAACACUGGG
rnacentral:rRNA from 1 species